GCUGUCUGGCUGCCGACGCUCGUGCCGCACGCUAAGAAGAGGGAAGGUUACCAACCGGGUCUCGGGACGGAAGGACAGGGAGCGGAGAGGAGCGUUUUGGUGUACACGGUGGUGGCCACAUCUCAACCUUGAUGAGCACAGUGAAAAGGAUGUUGUUUGACGGGCCGGUGUGUCGUCCUUGGACAUCCCCAGAAGAUCGAUUCCAGCAUGCCUGUGGAUACCUAAAUCUGAGCACGACCCACUCUCCUGCUCUCUCGCGUGGUUUAAUGUUUCUGUGUAACUUGCACACCCUCCUGGACACAUUAAACCAUCUCUAGAUGGUUGAUCAUAUGUAAUGUAAAUGUCAUUUUCAUGGCCGUUAUGCUAUAUUAAGGAAGAAAAAUUUCAUACGUGUUUGAUACAAUUUUUCCCAAAUAUUUUCCGUACAAACUUGUUUAAUCCAUGAACACGUAAUACUGUGUAUGCAUUCAUAUAAACAGAAAAAUUCCCAUUGUUUGGAAUGGAAGCAUUGGUAAAUUAACCUUUCAGAUUCAUAUAUUGUUUUAAGUUUUCACAGGAGGGAUCCCACAUCGAAUACCACUGAAUAUUCAACUUAAUAUUUGUUAUUUUCCCUCUAAGGAUGACCAGACUGUCAUAGGAACCCCACUGGGUGCGGCUAGGGGCUGGAAUAAAAUCUUUAGCAAAAUGUA